rnacentral:rRNA from 1 species
GCAAGAACUGCUGUGGAGGUGCUGCAUGGCUGUCGUCAGCUCGUGUCGUGAGAUGUUGGGUUAAGUCCCGCAACGAGCGCAACCCUUAUCGUUAGUUGCCAUCAGGUCAAGCUGGGCACUCUAGCGAAACCGCCCCGGAUAACGGGGAGGAAGGUGGGGAUGACGUCAAGUCCUCAUGGCCUUUAUGUCCAGGGCUACACACGUGCUACAAUGGUCGGUACAAACCGUCGCAAACCUGCGAAGGGGAGCUAAUCGGAAAAAGCCGGCCUCAGUUCGGAUUGGAGUCUGCAACUCGACUCCAUGAAGCUGGAAUCGCUAGUAAUCGCGGAUCAGCACGCCGCGGUGAAUACGUUCCCGGGCCUUGUACACACCGCCCGUCACAUCACGAAAGUGGACUGCACUAGAAGCCGGUGAGCCAACCGCAAGGGGGCAGCCGUCCAAGGUAUGA